UAUUUGGAGAGUUUGAUCCUGGCUCAGAACGAACGCUGGCGGCGUGGAUUAGGCAUGCAAGUCGAGCGAUCCCCUCUGUUUUCUUGUUUUCGCAAGAAAGCAAGAAGGGGGGAGAGCGGCAAACGGGUGAGUAAUGCGUGGACAAUUUGCCUUCAAAUUGGGGACAACUUGCCGAAAGGCGAGCUAAUACCGAAUAACACUACAUUUUCGCAUGAAGGAGU
rnacentral:rRNA from 1 species